CCUACGGGUGGCUGCAGUGAGGAAUAUUGGUCAAUGGGCGAGAGCCUGAACCAGCCAAGUCGCGUGAAGGAUGACGGCCCUACGGGUUGUAAACCUCUUUUGUCGGGGAGCAAAAGCCGGACGUGUCCGGCUGUGAGAGUACCCGAAGAAAAAGCAUCGGCUAACUCCGUGCCAGCAGCCGCGGUAAUACGGAGGAUGCGAGCGUUAUCCGGAUUUAUUGGGUUUAAAGGGUGCGCAGGCGGAUUUUUAAGUCAGCGGUCAAAUCGUGGGGCUCAACCCCAUCCAGCCGUUGAAACUGGGGAUCUAGAGUGUGCGAGAGGUAUGCGGAAUGCGUGGUGUAGCGGUGAAAUGCUUAGAUAUCACGAAGAACUCCGAUUGCGAAGGCAGCCUACUAAACUGCCACUGACAUUGAUGCUCGAAAGUGUGGGUAUCAAACAGGAUUAGAUACCCUGUAGUC
rnacentral:rRNA from 1 species